rnacentral:rRNA from 1 species
UACGUAGGGAGCGAGCGUUGUCCGGAAUUACUGGGUGUAAAGGGAGCGUAGGCGGGACUGCAAGUUGGGUGUCAAAUCUACCGGCUCAACCGGUAGCCGCACUCAAAACUGCAGUUCUUGAGUGAAGUAGAGGCAGGCGGAAUUCCUAGUGUAGCGGUGAAAUGCGUAGAUAUUAGGAGGAACACCAGUGGCGAAGGCGGCCUGCUGGGCUUUUACUGACGCUGAGGCUCGAUAGUGUGGGGAGCAAACAGG